UUGCUAUUGAAGCACCGACGGUGGUGAUUCUUCGCCUUGAAAAUUCAAAGUUUGGGGAAAGUCUCUUUACUUUUCGCGGAAGAUACAUGGUAGACUUGCUUAUUGCCCUUUU
rnacentral:RNase_MRP_RNA from 1 species